GACGAACGCUGACGGCGUGCUUAACACAUGCAAGUCGAAGGGAGUGGCGAACGGGUGAGUAACACGUGAGUAACCUGCCCUUUUCUUUUGGAUAAGCCUGGGAAACUGGGACUAAUACUGGAUGGAUUGGGAUGGGCUCGCGGCUUAUCAGCUUGGUGGUGGGGUGAUGGCUUACCAAGGCUUUGUCGGGUAGCCGGGCUGAGAGGGUGGUCGGUCACAUGGGGACUGGUAUGCGGCCCAGACUCCUACGGGGAGCAGCAGUGGGGGAUAUUGCACAAUGGACGAAAGUCUGAUGCAGCGACGUCGUGUGGGGGAUGAAGGCCUUCGGGUUGUAAACUCCUUUCGCCCGCGGAAUGGUAGUGGGUAAAGAAGCGCCGGCUAACUACGUGCCAGCAGCCGCGGUAAUAC
rnacentral:rRNA from 1 species